ACUCCGUUGGUGAACCAGCGGAGGGAUCAUUACCGAGUUUACAACUCCCAAACCCAAUGUGAACCAUACCAAACUGUUGCCUCGGCGGGGUCACGCCCCGGGUGCGUCGCAGCCCCGGAACCAGGCGCCCGCCGGAGGGACCAACCAAACUCUUUCUGUAGUCCCCUCGCGGACGUUAUUUUUACAGCUCUGAGCAAAAAUUCAAAAUGAAUCAAAACUUUCAACAACGGAUCUCUUGGCUCUCACAUCGAUGAAGAACGCAGC
rnacentral:misc_RNA from 1 species